rfam:Populus trichocarpa scaffold_1_contig_98, whole genome shotgun sequence.
UAAUCUGUUUGGGCAAAUCCUCAUUUAGUUAUGACAGACUCACUUCUAACUACUCAAAAUCAUUUAUUAUUGUGUGAACAAUAGUUUUUUGAAAGAAAAACUUCAUAAAAUUAUGAUUUAUGUAUUAAACAGUAG